UACGUAGGGUGCGAGCGUUGUCCGGAAUUACUGGGCGUAAAGGGCGCGUAGGCGGUUCUUUAAGUCAGGCGUGAAAGCCCUGGGCUCAACCUGGGAGUGGCGCUUGAUACUGGAGGACUAGAGAGUGGGAGAGGUUGGUGGAAUUCCCAGUGUAGAGGUGAAAUUCGUAGAUAUUGGGAAGAACACCGGUGGCGAAGGCGGCCAACUGGACCAUUUCUGACGCUGAGGCGCGAAAGCGUGGGGAGCAAACAGG
rnacentral:rRNA from 1 species